AAAGCCUUAGCUUAAUUAAAGUUUCUGUUUUGCAUGCAGAUGAUGUAGGGUAAUAUCCUGCAGGUUUUA
rnacentral:tRNA from 1 species